GCGGGUGCACACUUCCGUCCAGCUGGCCGCCACUGGACACUCUCCCUGUAAGUCCCAGUAAACCUGUAUGUCUCGUUUGCAGUCUCCGGCUUGUUUCUUUGGCCUCUCAGCCUGAUAGCCCACCGUCCUAGCCCAGCUGGGCUUACGGCCUAACACACGGUGAGCCCACGAGGAGACCGAGGAAACCCCCAUGAGCGCUGAGACUAUGGGGCAUGGGAAAGGGUGUCCGUGGGGUAAUCUUGGGUUGGCUGGUGUCCUCCCUCUGGGGGCCAGUCACCACCAUCUUUUAUGGAUGGGGCCCACUGCGUGAGUACGGGGACCCCCCAAAACACCAAAGGGCCUAGGAGAAGUCCUGGGCAUGGUUGAUGUGGGAAAACAGAAAGUAGAAGCCCGGGCAGUAGCUGCUGCAGUGGGGUGGCCCCUCCUUGACGCUGUACGCUUAGCCACAGAAGCUGAAAAGGAUGCUAGAGCGAAGAUCUUGAAGGAGCCUCCAGCUCCCUCCUCACCCACCUAUGCCAAUGAGGAUGGAUGGUGACAAUGCUAUUAGGAAACCAGCAGGAAGAUGAGUUAGCUCGAAUUUGCCUCCUGGAAGAAGAACCAGCAGAGAGAGUGGCAGAAUGGCUAUAAAAGAGGAUUGGACAUAAAGGACAAAAAGCCCUCUGGGCUAUUGCUAAGGCCUGGGGCCUCCCCCUGUGCUAUGCAGACAUAGUGGAGGCCCGUCAGGAGUGCCCUUCCUGCUUCUUGUGGAGACCCCGUGCCAUUCCCUGGGACACAGGCCAAAUAGCCAGAGGCAACCAGCCCUCUCAAGGCUGGCAGAUGGACUACAUCGGGCCCUUGUCUCUCUUUGAUGGCUGUCGGUAUGCUCUUACUUGUGUGGACACGUACACAGGACUGCUGCAGGCAUACCCCAGCAAAAGGGCCACACAGAAGACCACCAUAAAGCGCCUGGAACAUCUCUGUACUGCAUACAGUGUUCCCACAGACAUUGACAGUGACCAACAUAUGCAUUUUACUGGCCACCAGGUACAGAUGUGGGCCAUCAAAUGGACAUACAUUGGCAUUUCCACCUGCCAUACAACCCAAGGGCUGUGGGGCUGGUGGAAUGCAUGAACAGCCUGCUGAAACAACAACUAAGGACAGAAGAUGGGACUCUGGCCCACUGGACAAGACGGCUGACAACGGCAAUACGGGAACUAAAUGAACAUGAGAGACACACUCGACCCAGUGCAUAUCAGAUAUUGACACAAGGACCUGAUACAACAGAACAUCUACAAACAUGAGCUAAUCAAGGAGAGAAACUGCAACCACAGAUGGGCACUCAGAACAACAA
rnacentral:lncRNA from 1 species